rnacentral:lncRNA from 10 species
GAGCCAACGAGUGGCCACAGAGGUCGGCGAGCUGCCGGAGCAGGCUGAGCGCUGCCAGGGACAACGUCUUGCUAUGUUGCCUGGACUGAACUCGAACUACCCAGCUCAAGCAAUCCUCCCAAGUAGCUGGAACUACAGGGUCGCACUGUGUUUUAUCUAAGUUUUAAGAAUAUAUAUUUCACCCCACACCCUCUUGCCAUGAGACUCAAUAAAAAUAUAUAUACAGGCAGUGGGGGUAUGAAAAGGCUGCUCAUUAAUCCUAACUCUAACAUUCUGUUCUCUGGUUCUAAGUGUCUGUACCAAGAGAAAUUAACAAGAAUUGGCAAAUACUAGAUUGAAUCGACUCUCUUUUUAAAUGUCAUUUACCCUUUUUGGUAUAAAUGCAUGGCUCUGCAGUUAAGAAUACAAUUAAACUCUCUCUCCUCAGAUAGGCAGCCCAGUAGCCCAAAGAAAUCGAACUGCCAGCUUUUCAGUCAGAUAGAGCCUAUAAUUCAAUUAACAAUGCAGACAGUAUCAAGGCUAAUCAAUGCUACACUCUGAAAAGAGAGGGAUUUGUGGAUUGAGUUUAUCUUUAUAAUGAUUAUUAACAAUUUAUCAAAACAUAUAGAAUUAGAUAAAUUAUUAAUGAAGCAUGCAAAGUUAAAAAAAAAGAGUGGGUACAUUGAGUGGAUCAGUGCUACAAGAUUUGAGAGGAAAGAGCAUGCUUCUGCCCUAGAGGCAACAGAGGCUUCGCUGAGUGGGAGGGAUGUAACCCCAGAGCUGGGCCUCCAAGGGUGGACUGGAAACUUACAUGGCCAUCAAUCAUCUCCUAGGGCAGUAAGCGUGUGAGCCAAAGACGGCUCAGGGUCCUAAAAUAAAUUCCUUUCAGUCCAGUCUCAAUGCUUC